AACGAACGCUGGCGGCAUGCCUAACACAUGCAAGUCGAACGAGACCUUCGGGUCUAGUGGCGCACGGGUGCGUAACGCGUGGGAACCUGCCCUUAGGUUCGGAAUAACUCCCCGAAAGGGGUGCUAAUACCGGAUAAUGUCUUCGGACCAAAGAUUUAUCGCCUUUGGAUGGGCCCGCGUUGGAUUAGCUAGUUGGUAGGGUAAAAGCCUACCAAGGCGACGAUCCAUAGCUGGUCCGAGAGGAUGAUCAGCCACACUGGGACUGAGACACGGCCCAGACUCCUACGGGAGGCAGCAGUGGGGAAUAUUGGACAAUGGGCGAAAGCCUGAUCCAGCAAGGCCGCGUGAGUGAUGAAGGCCUUAGGGUUGUAAAGCUCUUUUACCCGGGAUGAUAAUGACAGUACCGGGAGAAUAAGCUCCGGCUAACUCCGU
rnacentral:rRNA from 1 species